GGGGCUGUAGCUCAGUUGCUAGAGUCCUUGCCUGGUACUCAUAUGGCCCUGGGUUUGAUUCCCAGCACCUCCU
rnacentral:tRNA from 1 species